GAAGCUAGACAUAUUAUACCUGAAGAAAAAAGAUACCUUUGUUACUGGAGAACAGAACUUGGUGAGAUUAUUUUUGUUCUAAAUUAUUUUUGCUUGUGUUCAAGUGACUUUUAUUCUCUCUCCCUGUAUGGACCUAGUUGAUACCACUUCCCAAACUCAGUUUUCUUCUGUGUGGUGAACAAAGACACCAUUCUGUUGCAUGAGGAAAGCACUCCUGUGACUUAAAGCAUCCUUCAGUUAUUAGAGUUCCAAGCAAGUAGUGUGGACUGUGGCUUGCCUUAUGGUAAUUUUGGAAUGUUGCCUAUUGACUGAUGCAAUGAGCUUCACUGUUCUCAUUUUCAUGCAGUCGUUGGUCCACAUGAACAACUGGGACCUGCAGUGGGUAAGGAAGGGCCCAGAGCUGAGAAGGAGACCUCCUCAUGUCCCAAGAUCAAAGAAAGCCAAAAUGAACAAGUUCAACUCAGAGCCCAAUUCCUGAGGAGCAGGUUGGAUUUGGUUGAAAAGCAUGACCAAAGCCAGCUGGGGACCUGGAAUACUGCCAGCAUGCAAGCCCAUUCCUCCCACACACUGUAUAUCCCUGUUGGGAGGGAAAAAGGUACUGGACUCACCCCACUCAAACAGUUUGUAUAAUAUGUGAGCUUACCUACUGAGCAUGUGGCUUAUCCACAUCAAGCCUUGACAACCAACAAAUGCCUGGAGAACAGGAGAGUGGUGCUCCUUUCAGUAAAAUCAGUAUUCCCUAUAGACCAUAACAGAUGGGAAUGCAUGGUGACACCAAACACCUAGGGACUCAAAGAAUGUCUUCAGUGUCAGUCAGUCUGGGCUGUGCAGACGAGCAACACUGACGGCCUUACACCUUUCCAUUGCAGGUAACUCAGCAGUGAGUUUUUCCACACUGUUUUUGUUUUUUUUUCCCAGAAAAGUAGAAGAUGGACAAGUUCAGUAAGGCAAAGGCUGCCUGUGGGCACUGAGAACACAGAGGAGGGGUAUGGUGGUCACAGGGCACGUGCUGGGGCCUUGAAGGGCAGCUGUGCAAUUGUGUGCCCACUGGUUGUCCCAAGCUCAGAGGUUGUUCUGUCAGCGGGUGCUGCUUUUCUUCCUUUCAACUCUCGAAUUUACGGAAGUUUUCAGCACCGAGGCAGAGCUGUGAGGUUGCCUGCAGCUCCAAGCAAGCACUUGGCAGUCCAAUUUAACUUGGAGUUUGGGCGGGGUAAAGAGGUCUGUCUGAAAUUACCAGUAUAUGGAGGGAUCUAAGACUCCUGUCCCUGAAUAUAUAGUAUGAGAUCUGAGGGGAGAAAAAGGAAAGUAGUGUUUCUGACAAUAGCAGUAAUACUUACGUUAGGGGUGAAAAGGUACGCUAGACCUUCAGUGGCUCCUGGUAGACUGAGUCCAUGAAUAAGGAAUAUAGUUAGGACCAGGUAA